UACGUAGGGUGCGAGCGUUAAUCGGAAUUACUGAGCGUAAAGCGUGCGCAGGCGGUUCUCCAAGUCCGUUGUGAAAGCCCCGGGCUCAACCUGGGAAUGGCAGUGGAAACUAGGGGACUGGAAUCUGGCAGAGGGGGGUGGAAUGCCGCGUGUAGCAGUGAAAUGCGUAGAGAUGCGGCGGAACACCGAUGGCGAAGGCAGCCCCCUGGGCUGAGAUUGACGCUCAGGCACGAAAGCGUGGGUAGCAAACGGG
rnacentral:rRNA from 1 species